CUCACUUCCUGCUGUCUUCUCCCGUCCACUCUCUCUGCAUCCAUCAUUCAUGCUCUGGUCGAGGGAAUAAUUCGGCUUCCUGGUGUUUUCAUGUCCACGUGAUGAAACAGAAGGACAUGGACUUGUGUCAUCUCAGCAAACUUGUGGAGCCUGGAGCGUCCAGAACAAAAGACUUCAUUCUGUGGGGAGUCCAGUAAAUUUCAGAGCGACCAGAUUUUGACGUUGAUGUAAAAGAAAAGGCCACUUGAUUCAAGUUUUGGUGACCAAAGUACACUUGCUGUGCACAGUGUGGAGAUGAGAAAGCAGACAGAUUUUCUCCCCUCCUUUGUAAAAGUAUUUCCUUCUCUUUGCAUGUGUACAGCUGAAUGCAACACCAUGUAUGCUUUUGAGGAUAGACUCUAUGAAACCAUUUGAAACUGGUUUUUGUCCUUCCUGUAAGUGUGGCUCAAAGACCCAUUUUUACUUUCAGACACUUGGAUGAUACAUGGUAUAAAGAAUUCCUUUAGUGUCAGUGCACCCAAGGCAAAUGUACCUUCCUGCAUAUCACCUCACCUCACCUCACCUCACCCACAGAAAUGCAUUUCAUCAUAGAGGUUGCAGGAAUGCCAGCAGUGCGGGAACUGGAGCAGUUCUGGGGUUCAGUACCGUGCUCAAAGCGCUUGGGCAGAGAUGGUGGGGACUGGAGAUGUAAUACCAGCCCACAGAUGGCAUGCACCUUCUUGUUGGUGGACAGGACUGAACCAGAGGCCUUCAGCAAAUGUUCAGGAAGAGGAAAGUUUGAUGUGAUGGUGGUGUUAGCCAGAAGGCUCAAGUUGUAUUAACCGUUUUUUUCUUUUUACCUCUUGGUGAUGUAUUACUUAGUGUAUUGCUUACUGUAAAUCCCUCAUUAUCAAGUUGAGUCACAUUACUCCAUUUCUCCACAUGUGAUAAAAAACAUGGUUACACAUGUCUAAUUAUUCUGAAUAAUGAGCUUUCAAACGCAUUUCUUAACGUUUUUAACUUAUAAAAUAACCCAAAUCCUUUUGUAUAAAAAAUAUCUUUUUAAUGGAAACCAUCAUAAAACGGACCCCUAUACGGAAAAGUUAACUCAUGUACAGCUGGAAAACCUAGAUUUCUUUCCUUCUGAUGAUGUGCCUGUUUGAGGAUGACACCACUUACUGAAAGUCAUGUGACUUAAGGAGAAAUCCUUCACUUUACUUGACUGGUGAGUUUGAUGAGAACUGCCUGCCAGCAGCUGUACAAUAGAGACAGACGUGUAAUGGUGUUGUUUUGUUAGUUGUUCUAAGAUGCCUCGAUAGCCAUCAAAAACGUGUGAGGGUAAACACACUGCACUCUUAGGCAAUAUACGAUGAACCUUAUUGGAGGAAAUCGGGUAGUUGAAAUGUUUUGUGCAAAAGCAUUCCUUGAAAAUAUAGGAGUGCAAUUCUGCUGAAGGGAAAUUAUAGGGAAAUUAAAGGGAAAUGAUUGAUUACUAAAUGAAGACUAAUUAAAAACCCAGAAGGAUGGAAGAAAGGAGCAAGAAAGAAACAGAAGCAGAGUGAAAUAGAGCACAGGUGCUGUGCACAACAGAAACCCCAGGAUCCGGCUGAGCGAGAACAGGCGAGAGUUUCCUAACAGUGCUGCGAGUCCUGACAUGAUGCUGAUCGUGACACCGAGCCAGGAUGGGAUCGCGGAACAGGGAGUGAGACUAGACCCAGAAAAACGGGAUUCCACUCUCACUCCCUGCUCACGGAGCAACAUACCUCUCCAAGAGUUUCCCACGAGAAAAACCUCCGGCGUUUUUCGUUCUAGGUAUAAGCAAAAAAGAAAAAAAUGAAAAGAGAAAAGUCAGCAAAGGCAGGAGAGACAGGGAGAUGGAUAAAUAGAUACAACAUGGAGCAGCAUGGGAAAACUGGGGGCAUGUCGUGGUGUAUUUUGAGUGGGGGUGACAGAAGACAGACAGUCAGAGGGAUUAUGUGUGAGCUUUAUGAGAAAAACUACUAGAUAGGCAUCAGCUGGCCAUCUCUGGACCACAAGGUUUUCAUAACUGUUUAGCAAGUUGCGUUCAGCUAUGAUACAGGUGCUCAAUGCCCAGCAGAGGCCAGGAAUACACAAGAGUCAACAUGAGUGGUUAAAUCAACACAUAAAGAUAUUCAGACAAAAUGCCAGGGUGUGGACCAUGCCUCUGCCUUUGGCAUUUAAUUUGACCCACAAAAUGUACCUGAAAUUGCCGGUGAUGUGACGUUUUUUUUUUUCCCCUCUGCUCUUUUUCUUCCCUUCUUCCUCCCAACGCCUCCAUCCAUCCCUUUGUUAGGAGGAUAAAGUCACAGCUGUCAAACCUGUUCUUUGUCUUUAUUUAUCUGCUGGAUCGGGAGGGAUUUAUUUCCAUCACCACCUCUUCCUGCUCUUUUAAGGAACAUAGAGGAGAGUUAUUAUGAGCUAAGUAAGAACUUGAGCAGUUUUUUAGACCUUUAAUCUUUAUAUACACUGUGGACGCUACAUAGUUUAUGUACAUGUUCCUGAAACUGGUGUUGACAAGCACCCACUCAGCUGAGAUUCCCCCAAACAAGGUUACUAACUGAUUCUCACCCUGAACUUUGACCUCCCUGUGGAGGGAGCAACUGAAAACAGGAACGUUGCUUACAAGGACAGCUCCUCAAAAGAAAAAGAGAAAAAGAAUUAAAGUGUGACAUUUUUACAGUGGAGGAAAAUAUUGAACACUUCAGUAAAAGUAGCAAUACUACAAUCUAAAAAUGCUCCAUUACAAGUAAAGGUCUUGCAGUCAAACACCUUUGUAAUUAAUUAUUUAAUUAUAUUUACAGUACUUGAAUAAAUAUUCCACAUUUGCGUUGUGUAAUUAUGACUGAAACACUGAGACUAGUGACAUGUUAUUUACUUAAUCAUUGUAGUUAAAUAGGUGUCUCUGAGCCAGGAAGAAAUUUUCCAUCAUAGUGCUGACUCACUCUUUGCAUCUGAUUUGCAUAGCUUUGCAUUCUACUGUGUUGCUGGCCAAGUUACCCAUUCAUCUGUGUAUUUCUAAAAUGUUAUGCUUUUUGUGUGUGCCUGAAGGUCUAAAUUAUGAUAGUAAAUCGCAAACAGAGAUUUUUAUCUGAUAGUAUCUUCUCCGCCCUCACGUUGGCAGGAUGACAGGCAGGUUGUGGUAAAAGUCCCCACCAUGGGUACAUUGUGGACCUGAGGCUUACAGUAAAGCUUUUUUUUUUUUCUUUUUGCUUCUUCAUCUCAUGUGCAAACACAAGUAAAAAGAAACUUUUAGAUGUUUGCACAGCUAAAGUACAUCCUGUUCCAGAGAACCCCCCACCCCACACACACAUUCACCCAUAGCGCAGCAUGAGUUCCCCAUAAUGGCAAGGACAAAACCAUACCUUUGUGCUUCUCUUCAACACUAAAUAAACAGAUUGUCUUCAGCUCCUGCAGGGUGCUGUAGUGCUGCAGUGGUUUGCACCAUUAUCAUUGUUAUUGUGGAAAGAACAAAAAUAUCUGUGGGUUUUAACAAUAACCCUCCAAUCUCUGAAAUCCACUGUUCUUUGACCUGGCAGAGGUCAUAUACUUUCGAUAAACAUGUCAACCUUCAAUUAUUUGUCCUAGUCAAAUGCUGUACUAUCAUCACAUCACAAAACCAAUAUGAUACAAAUACUACAAAGAGCCACACUAUGGUUAUGGGAGGGUGGACGAGUGAUUCGCACCUGGACACAUGAGACUCUAAUGAGUCACAUUAUGGUUGUGUACCCCCUUGCAGCGGAUGUUGGCUGGGCAGGUCUAGCUUUAAUACCUGGGACUCCCGACCAGUCAAUCAGAACUGAAGAAGCCUUUUGGAUGAAGCUUGACGCUUUUAAACUGAAGUCCAGUUGCCACAACUCAAGCUCUUCUACUCAAGAUGACCUGGACAACUGAGAAUCUACUCAGACUACAAAGACAACUACUGACUGCUGACUCAGUCCAUACACAUAUAUUCAUCUCUGUCACAGUAAAACCCAUCCAGUGAUGUACAAAAUGUGAAACAACACUAUGGACUUGUCUAUGUCGACAGCCUCACGUCCACUCAAGGAUGUAACAGUAACUCCUACAUAACAGGACCCUGUCAUGUUUCUGAUGAAGUGUUACACUACAGUAAGUGCUGGUUCAACAUGUGUGUGUUUAAGUCAUCACAGGCCAAUGUACAUGUUCAAACUUGUCAAGAGUUACAGAAGAGAAAACACUGUGUUGAAUGUGUGUGUGUGUAGGCCUAUGUACUACAGAGAAAGAGAUACAGAGAGAGAUGAUGAGAAGGAGGUACCCAUCCAUCUUAAUGAGUGCUUACUCAUGUUACUGUUCCUUUCGUUUCAUCUAUGAUGUUCCGCCUUUAGGUUUCUUUCUUCUUUUUUUUUUAAGUCCUCCUUUGACACCUGUAAGUCCUGCAGAGCAACUGACAGCCACCUAGCAAACAGCCUCAGCUUCAUCAAUCACACCUUGUUAUCAUGUUGGCACGUACUGUAAGCACCAAACGCAUAUUCAGCUUCACAGCUUGCUCAUAAACACAUCCUGUGCUCACUGAGAUGUGUAAAGACACACACUCUCUUUUUCACUAGAACCCAUUUCCUAGUGCCCUAUGUAACAUGCCCACACACUUUUUGUAUGUACAAAUACCCUGUAUGUGCGUGAGAGUUAUCAAGGCCCUGUGUUUCCUGUUUUGCAAUCCUCACCAUUGCCCUCCCAGAAAACGUCUGCCUCUGGCUGAUUCAGGAACACCCUGUUUUCUGCCCUGCUCAGUGGGUGCAUGCAACACUGAGGCAUAUGUAUGUGUCCUGCCUCUGAGAAAAGCUUAACAGAAAUAUUGUCUGUCGUUGUUCAGACCUUUUUUCAAAUCAUAAUGCUUUCAUUAAACGAUUUUAGGUGA